rnacentral:rRNA from 1 species
GUCUAUGGACAAAUUACAUGGAACCUGUCAGGUUUCUCAGAUCAUAGAAGCUAAGAAUGGCUGGGCCUGAUGAAUACUUGGGUGAGAAACCACCUGGAAAUACCAGGUGCUGCAGAUU